rnacentral:pre_miRNA from 1 species
AGCUUUUUGAAUCCGUGCUGAGAUUUCGUUAGACCUCGACCCAUUAGGGUUGAUCAGACUUCCAAGACACGUGAAGUU